GACUAGUCUCAGAUGGUGUUUCUGCUUUGG
rnacentral:piRNA from 1 species